rnacentral:sRNA from 1 species
UCUGCCUCCGGUCUCUACUUUCCAGGCACGAGGUGGACAGCCCCCUCUGCCACAUUCUCCUGUGCUGUAUCACUACCAGCAACAGAGGAUGGGACCAUAGACUGAGCCCAAAAGAAACCUUCCUCUUACUCAGUUGAUUUACCACAAGUAUUCGUUACAGCAACGGAACACGUGGCGGGCAGGGCAUGGCUGCCACACAGAGUUAGAAGGGCCAGAAAUAUCUUGCACCUGUUAGAGGAGAUGCUUGAGGGACUAUAAAGAGGAGGAGCCGGCUGGUCUUCAGACUCCUGCCGAGGAAGGAGAGGAAAGGAAAGAAGGCUUUCCAGAAGGAUCUCAGGCUACUGUGAGGCUCCAAGGGUCUUAGCACAGAAACCGCCCACUGUAGGAGUCCCCACGGGGCCCAGGUGUCCGUUCCAAGUCCCCUGCUGUACUAAGUAUAGGCUGGAGCUGUUUGGAGAAACCGUGGCCUCGGCCCCCAGACCUGACUGCGCCUGGAGAUGCUGCCUGUGCCUUCCUCCAGGUGAGGGCCAAGUGGUGCUCCUAGGGAAUGACAGCCAUACUCCUGGAGUGAAGGGGAAACCGACAAAACGGGAAGGGAGAAACAAAAAGGCAGGAGCAAGCAGGCAAAGAGCAAGUGCUUUCUUCUUCCAAGUCCUUAUAUAUUGACUUCCAGCAGAACACAUGACCCAGAUUAAAGGUGUGUCUUCCCGCCUCCCACCUCAAAGCUGUGGACUAGAAGUGGAUUUGAAGUGCAACCAGCAAACCCAGGAACCUUUUUAUCAUGCAAGGAAAAAAAAAGCAAAAUAAAUAAAUAAAUAAAUAAAUAAAUAAUAA